CCUGAAAGGACUCCACCUCAUCUCUGGGAAAGGAGAGAGCUUCAUAUUGAACGGAAAUAUUUGGAGGAGGGGCAAGAAAGGCUGAUGCAAGACAUUUUUCUUGGGAUGGAGGUUCUCUCCUCCUGAAAGGACUCCACCUCAUCUCUGGGAAAGGAGAGAGCUUCAAAUUGAAUAGAAAUAUUUGGAGGAGGGGCAAGAAAGGCUGAUGGAAGACAUUUUUCUUGGGAUGGCAGCAUAUAUAAGAAUACCGUGGAAGGUUAUCCUUGAAACAGUGGAAACAAGUUAAUAUAAAAUACUACAAACGUGGCCACAUUUAUCCACUUCCCGGUGGGAGGUCCAGGUUAUCGGAUUACUCCAGGAAAGAAACCGUGGUUGCACAUGUAUAAAUAACUCUGGUCCUGUGAGGGUGAGGGGAUUUCACGCCCUGGGAUCCCGGCAGAAGUUCUGCCACAUUGGAAGAUAGAUUUUCCUGUGUUGGACAUCAAAAUCACAAGAGAAUAACAGAUUUUAGAUCUGCUAUUUGUGGGAAAUGUACGAUCCAAGGUAUGCUUAAUGAAACAAAUGAAAGAAGAACAAGAUGACAGAAUCUCGAAGAAAACGAGAGAUUGCGCAGCUUAAAGAAGACCAACAGAAACAAGACGUGGGUUGGAGGAUUUUUAACUCUAGGACACUGCUAUCAUUGUGUUAGUGGAAUCAAGCACUUAGAACGGUGCUUUGCACAUACAUCAAUUCAGGCUUUUGGAAGCUCAGAAAAGAAAUCAAGAAGUGGUUUCUUCGACAUAAAACCGAAGAGGUAACAGCUCUUUGGCCGCAAGUAAGACCCAUGUCUGAUGGAGUAGCGGGGAAGGUUAGUCGAAAACUGAGUGCCCCUGAUUCUCCUGCUCAAGACCCGAGUUCCACUGUAGCUGCCGGAGACCCUGAUUCGACUAAGGCUGGAUCCUAACAGAAAAUGAGAAUUCCUGUUGCAAGAGUGCAAGCACUGCCAGCAACUGCAGCAAGUGGAACCAGGAAGAAAUACCUGAAAAGGGGAAUGACCUGUCGAGCACUCACGUCAAAAACUGCCCGGAUGAAGUGGCAACGACUUGAACGUAGGGUCACAGAGAAUGACAACUUCCGAUAUGGAGACUGAUAAUAA